UGCACAUUACUGUUAUUAGAUUGAGUUAGAUGUUAUUCUUUGGACCAAAAGGGAAUAUAAUAACAAUGAAUAGUUUAGUAUACCAUUUAAAAUUGGUUAGAUAGAUCAUACAUGUAAACUAUAUCUUUAACUGCUUUUCUGGUGAAAUCUUGUGCUUUUAGUCAACUUUUAGCAAUCUUCUGCCGGAACUCAAUUGAUUUCCUUGGUAAUUCACACAUAAUUUUGUUUACUGCUGAACUUGUGCUUCAGUUGUCCUAAUAUUUACUGCUUAGGCUUUUUACAAUUCUGUUCUUUGUAAGCUAAGUUGAGAAUGACUUGUCUUUGUUAAUAGUUCUGUUAUGUUCAGAAUCUAAAAUUCCAUUUAUUUUAUGGUCCUAAUGCAAUCCGGAUUACGUAAUCCGGAAUGCAAAGGGGCAUUUUUGGAAAUUUUACAAGGCACACGAGAAGUCAACAGGGUGGGAAAAGUAAUACUCUUCGUAUUUAGCUUUAAGUGGAGUCCCAUAGUUCUUCCAGUGAUGUAUGGUCCUGUUAAAAAGGGUCAGGAGCCGGCCCAACACUAAAUGAGGCCUAAAGCAAACUCCAAUGUAAGACCUUUUUACUUAAGAAUUUUUUUUUAUUUAAAAUUUUUUUUCGAGCUUUUUGAGACGCAAAAUCAUUUAUUAAAUUAUCACAAUCAAUUUGCCUUAACAUGUCUUUUUCAAUUGAGAUUAAGGCUAAUCCAUUUAAUCUUUGUUGAGACAUUGUUGAUCUAAGAUAAAAUUUUAUUAAUAUUAAUUUUGAAAAACUUCUUUCUGCCGAAGCUAACUGUUACAAAAAUUGCUAACAUUAUUCCAUAAACAAUAAAAGCAUUUGGAAAAGAAUCAAGUCUAAUAAUAUAAUUAAGUAUGUCAAUUGGAGUACCAUUUUCAACCUGUAUGAUUUCUCUUAAAACUAGUUACAAAUUCGUGCUUCACAGGGUUCAAUAACGUAUUCGAUAAAAAAAUUCUUUAAAAGAAGAUAUGUUAAAACGACGGAACAUUGUGAUUCAUCAUAAAAUAUGUAUGGCCUGAUUAAGAGAGCAUAUAAUCAGUUUAUGAGAUUAGGAAUUGACAUAAUAUUUAGGAUGAAAACUAUUGGAACCAAUAAAGAAAUCAAUGAUGUGUGAAUUUACAUAUUAUCCAAAAUUAUAAAAAAGAGUUUUGUUUUAAUACCCAUAUUUACAUCAAAUGAAAUCAAGCAAAGAAGUAGCAUCAGUGAGUGAAGAUAAUCUAGUCUAGGAUUAAAGUUAAGGUGAUAUGUUGAAAGUGCGGAUCAUGAACCAAAUCUUUAUUUGGAAACGACUUGAACGUGCAUAUUUUUAGGUGGCUUCUCUAGAUAAAAAAUUAACUUAUCACCUACCUCUAACACAUGUUCUCGUCAAAAUUUGAACCAUUGUCCGCCUAAGUAUUUUUUGUAACUUGCUCUCUUUGCCGUUAUCAAGCGACACUUAUACCUUUUUUGAGCUUGUUUGUCGAUCAGUGUGAUUAUUUUCCGUGUUCCUUUUAGAAAUGUCAUUGAUAUCUCAUUUGAGAAGUGCUAGGUACAAAACAAAUUGCAGUGUUAAUUAAAAGUUAUAUAUAUGUACAUUUCUAAAACAUUUACCAAAGCAUUGUAAAGAUUUACUGUAGGAAAAUAGCAUGUUUUAUUUUUCUCAAGAGAUUAGGAAAACAGCAUUACAAUUAACAUGAUACUAAUUGGAACCAAUGAAGGAACCAACAAUGUACAGAUUAACGUUACAUAAUAGUUAGGUUUAUAAAAGAGAUUGCAAGUUUCAUAGACUAACCAAACAGGAAUUUUUGCCAAUACUUACAUCAGACAAAAUGAAAAGAACAAAUGACAUCCCAAAGUUAAGAUAGUUUACGACUAUAGUCCAAAGCGAUACAUCAAAAUAGUAGAAGUUAAAAUAGUUCAACAACAAAGAUCUACUUUGGAACAACUCGAAUUUCCAAGUUCUUCUAUGACUUUUCGGGAUCAAAGAUGAGCUUACCACCUUCUUCCAUCACUCGUUAUCUGCAGAAAUUGAACCACUGCCCACCCAAAUAAUUUUCAUAGCGUGCACUAUCGGCGGUAAUGAGAUGACAGUUAUACUGUCUCUGUGUCUGGUCAUCAAUGAGAGUGAUUGUUUUGCGCUUUCCUUUCAGAAUUGUUCUUGACACCUCGUUUGGGAAAUGCUAAACAGGAAAAUAACUGCAAUAUUAGUCUAAUGAAUAUUUACAUGGAUAAGAUGUAUGCGAAUAUAGUUACAUAUAAUUUAUAAAAUAAAGGUAGCAUAACUGAUUUUAAGCUAAAGAAAAUGUAACAUGACUUCUAAUUUAUCAUCCUAUUAUCUUCAUAUAAAGUCUAGAUAAAUGCAUGCAUGUACAUUAUAUGCACUCCGUUGACCAAUUAACAUUGUUGAAACAAAUGGAAAUUAAGCAUCACUUCCGCAUGUGCAUAUAUAGCUAGCAUCAUUUGACAUUGAUGUCUUCGAACAUUUGGUGCAACUCUCAUAAUACAAUCCAAACUGGUUAUGAUUGAAUUUAGUUGUUUUCCAAAUAGUGAUGCAAUAUGUUUCCUAACACAAAUUAUGCACAUGAAAUAAAGAAUAAUGCAAUAUGUAUUUUUAAUUUGUGCGUAAAAAAACUCAAAGCAUGUUUGUGCAUAAAAAAAGCAGACAUUGACUAAGUUUAUAAAUUCAGCAAUUGGCCUAACAUGUGACAGUUUGGAAAAAUCGUUGUACGAAGCACGUUGAGAAGAAGUCGAACUCUGACUUAAGUUCUAACUGAAUUUUGACUCUGAGCUUGAGAAGUGUUGAAGUCACGACAACAAUUCAAGAAACAUGGUCAAAAAACAAUCAAAUCGGAUUGUGAAAUAAUAAGUUACUCUAACAUUGUAUUGUGAAAUCAUAAUGCAAACUUACUAAGUCUUAAACUUCUCACAACCGGAUGAUGUAGGUUGAUGAGCAACCUCGAACCUCACCAAUUGUUACAUAUAUUUGGGUUGCCAUUGACUACAAAAUGCAAGAAAGGAACUCAAGGUAAAUAGAUAGUAAAUGAUAAAGUUACGGAGUAUUUUUUCCCAUAGUGUUACAUCAACUAUAUUCCCACUACAUAAGGAAAGACAUUUUUCGGGUCAUUAUCAAACUUAUACAAAAUUCUAUCAUCUGAUGUUGACAAAAUAGAAAAUAAUACCUUUUCUAUUUAGCAAUAUUUAGUUUUUUUGAAUAAGAAAAAGAUAUGCAUAGUUUGUUACGAUAUAAAGGUGCAAUAUAUAUAUAACAGAUAAGUAUAAUUUUUUUAAGCAUCUAUACCUUUUAUGUAUAUAUAUAUAUAUAUAUAUAUAUAUAUAUAUAACAUACGCAUAAUUUUUUUAGGCAUCUAUACCUUUUUUGAAGAAAAGACAUCUACAAUUUUACUUUAAUUAAAAUCAAAAUUUUAUAAAAAUUAUACGCAUUAGCGUAACAAAAAAACAGACACACAUAAAGUAUUACUCUAAACGUUAAUAUGUGUGUCUGUAUAUUUGUGAGGUUGUUAUAAUUAAACGAUAUUUAAAUUAAAUAUAUAAGGGAUAAAAAGAUAAUAAAAUUUCUUUGAAAAAAAUGUAAUAAAAUUAAAUGGAACCUCCUUUAAAAAAUUAAAUGGAACGGCUAAAAGAAAUUAAAUGGAAGAAAAAAACAUAUUGAAAUAUAAUAUUUGAAAAUAAAAGAAAAGGUUCCCAACGUGAAUUGAAGAGAGAUGAUUGUGAAAUAAAUUGUCGAGAAAUAGUUUUUUGAAGUAGCAUUCAACAACUUUUGGUCAAAGCUCAUUCCAUUCAAUUUUAUGCAUUAAAAAAAGUACCUUUUUUAGUAAGUACUUAAUUGAUAUUGUACUUGGCCUAACUUCUUCUUAAAAAUGUAGAGAAGUUGAAGAAAAAAAAAAAAGACUUAUUUGCACUUUGGGACCCCUAUCUUUCCAAAAGUUGGGGUUAUGGACCCCUAACUAAUUUAAAUACAAAACAGCCCCUUAUGUUUUUGAUUCUUUGGCAGUUUCGGACCCCUAAGGCAAAAAAAAAAAAAAAAUUGACACGUGGCACCUCACUUAGGGUGCCACGUCAGCGUUGACCAAGUCAACAAUGGACUGAGGGUCCAAAACUGCCAAAGAAUCAAAACAUAGGGGACUGUUUUGUAUUUAAAUUAGUUAGGGGUCCAUAACCGCAACUUUUGAAAAGAUAGGGGUCCAAAAGUGCAAUUAAGCCAAAAAAAAAGGGUCAAACGAUAUCUUAAUCUCCCACAACGGCAGUGUAGAAACAACUGAAUUUGUGAAAAAAAUUAGAAAAUAGUUAAAAAUAAAAAAAUUGGAAAAUAGUCAGAAGUUUUUAAAAAUAUGAAAAUUGGAAAAUAGUUAAUAAAAAUCGGUGAGGUAGCACUCAACCAAGCAAUACUAAAAAAAAUUAUAUGCAUUAGCGUAACAAAAAACAGACAGACGGACAUAAAAUAUUACUUUAAACGUUAAUGUGUGUGUAUAUAUUCAUGAGGUUGAAGAAAGAAAAUAAAAAUAUUUGGUAUCAUUAAAUGACAGCGUGAAUAAAAAUAUUUGUGAGGUUGUGAUGAUUAAACAAUAUUGAAAUUAAAUAUAUAAGUGAUAAAAAGAUAAUAAAAAUAUUUUGAAAAAAAGAUAAUGAAAUUAAAUGGAACUGUUAAAAAAAUAAAAUAAAAUAAAAUAAAGUUAAAUGAAAAGAAAAUAUAUUGAAAUAUAAUAUUAAAAAAUAAAAGAAAAGGUUCCCAACGUGAGUUGAAAAGAGGUGCUUGUGAAAUAUAUUGUCGAGAAGUAGUUUUUUAAAGUAGCAUUCAACAACUUUUGGCCAAAGCUCAUUCCAUUCAAUUCUAUGCAUUAAAAAAUGUUCCCUUUUUAGUAAGUACUUAAUUAAUAUUGUGUUUGACCUAACUUCUUUUUAAAAAUGUAGAGAAGUAAAAAAAAAAAUCAGGUCAAACGGUAUCUUAAUCUCCCACAAUGGCAGUGUAGAAGCAACUGAAUUUGGGAGAAAAAAUUGGAAAAUAGUUAAAAGUAUUUAAAAAUAUAAAAAUUGGAAAAUAGUUAAAAAUAAUCGGUGAGAUAACACUCAACCAAGCAACACUAAAAAAAAUUAUAUGCAUCAGCGUAAGAAAAACUCAGACAGAUGGACAUAAAAUAUUACUCUAAACAUUAAUGUGUGUGUAAAUAUUUGCGAGGUUAAAGAAAGGAAAUAAUAAUAUUUGGUAUCAUUAAAUGACAGUGUGAAUAAAAAUAUUUGUGAGGUUGUGAUGAUUAAACAAUAUUGAAAUUAAAAUAACUAAUAGUGUGUUUGACCUAACUUCUCCUUAAAAAUGUACAGAAGUUGGAAAAAAGCCGGAUCAAGCAAUACCUUACUCUCCCACAACGGCAAUUUAGAAGUAACUGAAUUUGGGUGAAAAAAUUAAAAAAUAGUUAAAAAUAAAUAAAAAUUAUAAAAGUUAUUAAAAAUAUAAAAAUUAUAAAAUAAUUAAAAAAAAUGGUGAAGGGCAAAAUGGAAAAUGCACCAUAAAAUGAUGAGGUGGCAUUAACCACACCUCAUCAAUAGGAAAUUACCAAAAUGCCCCUCCAAGGAGCAAAAUGGUAAAAUCCUAGGAACUUACUUUUAUAAUAUAGUAAGUAGAUUUUCAAUUCAAAAUAUAAGUCUAAUCCAUCAAUAUCAGAUGUUUCAUUAUAUUUUAAGGAGUGUUCAAGGUUAAGACAAGAUUCUUUUAUACUUCCAAUAUUUAAAGACUUUAAUUUCUGAAUGCUAAAUAGAAAGCCAAACAUAUCUUGAUAUAUUUUAAAUUGUUCAAAUUUACUUUGAAAAGAACCAAUUGCUUGAUCUAUAUGAUGUACAAAAAGUAGUCGAAUUUAAAUGAUUAUUCGGGAGAUUUUAAAACUUUAUUGUACUGCAAUCUCAUCAAAUUAUUUCUUUCUAUGAAUAAUACGUUUUUCACGAAACUUGGGUUCUAUAUCCAUUUCACGAAAUUUAUUUCUUUCAAAUUCAUCUUCCCUAUACUUUUCAAAAAGAGCUAGUAAGGAUAAAGAAUGUUAGUCUAAUUGAUUAAGGGACGUAUAACUUGUUGGCUAAAUUAUACCAAAGAUUCUUUAAAUUAUUUAAUUAUAAUAAGUUGAUUCUUUAAGUCUUUCAAAAAAAAAAGUUGAUCCUUUAAGUUUUUUCGUAUUAAUUACGUGCUUUAAAUUAUUUAAUUGCAACAAGUUAGUCAUUUAAGUAUUUAUUGUAACACUUAAAUCCUUUAAAUUAUUUAAUUAUAACUUUAGAUCCUGAAUAACUUAUAUUUUUAAUAUUUGAAAUCCUUAUUCUUUCAACAAAAAAAAAUUCUGAAAUCUUCAAAGUUGUCAUGGUUAAAUAACUUAAAGGCUUCAUUAGUACGAAAAUAACUUAAAGGAUCAACUUAUCAUAAUUUAUUCACGUAAAAAAACUCAGUGGUACGAAAAAAAUUUAAAGGACUAAUUUAAUACAAUUAAAUAACUUAAAGGAUCUCUAAUGCAAUUUAGUUUAACUUAUAUUAGUUGUUGUUGUAUUGUUCUUCUUGAGAUGGGGAGGUUUCCAAUGUCGAUUCUUAAUUGUAGAAUUUCUUCUUGAGCUGAUGUGUAGUAACGAAAUUUAAGUCCAAGUAGGAUAGAUUAACUUAGCAUGAGAUUCAACCGAGAAUUGUAG
rnacentral:lncRNA from 1 species